GAGGACAAACUGCCUGGCAAACCAGCAGGGCCAGGCAAAUGAGGCCAAUUGGCAGCAAGGGCUGGGAUGGAGAUGUCAGAGAUUUAGAGGCUCUCAGGGUUGGAAGGGGGACCUCAAAUUUCAUCUAGGUCAAUGCUGUGUCCCCUUACCUGAGUCCUGUCUAUAAUAUCCCUCCCAAUAGUGGGCUAACCUCAGCUUGAAUGCUCCCGAUGAUGGAGCACUCAUUACCUCCUGGGACCACGAACUCAUCAAUGGGUGGUGCUGACUGUGCAAAAACCCUCCUUCAUUUUGAGCCUAAAUCUGUUUUCCAACAUGAAGAGAGAAGACCCCCGCAGUGGGUUCAUCCUUCUUCUGGCUCCAGCCCUCAGUGCUGCGAAGGAGCCGCAAGUCACUCUUCAUGAGGAAACAUGCCCGGUGUCUUGGGUGGGGGCAGAGGCACCACUGAUCCACAAAGAUGUGGUGUGAUUUUUUCCUCUCAGGGGACUUUGCUUGGGGGAGGGGCCACUGGGAAGAGCCAAGAAGCUGCUAGAAAAAAACUGAAGUCGUUCCUCCUUCUCAAGUGCGAAGUGAACCUGCAGCAGAACAUUAGAAACCCUGAUGCAGGCUAGCUCCGUCUGUGGGGACCGUUACAUGCUGGUUCUCUGUUGCCAGCUCCAGGGAGUCAGGGUCUAAUAGGAGCCACCCCAGGUAUUCCACUUAUAGUUAUAGCUCCAAGCAGGGGUCAUCAGCAGGGUGACUGGAACUCCCUGCGGUUCCAGAGAGCCACAGAUGCUCACCCAUGCUGGCUUUGGUAGGCAGGGAGCUCAGUAAGCCUCUCCGAGGCUCAGGAUUUUGCCAGUUUGGAAGAGCACUGGAUGAUUUGGAAGAGCACUGGAUUCCAAGCUUGGAAGAGCACUUGGAAGAGCACUGGAUUCCAAGCCAGCUUGGAAGAGCACAAAUGACAACCUUGCUCCAAAGUGGAGGUGUGCGUGGACUGACCAAGAAGGCUCAUCAGACCUCGCCUCCCAGGACCAAAUGUUGGACUGAAGCACUGGUGCAAAACAUAAAGACAAACAUUUCUCCUUAAGUAUUGAUCUUUUUAGCCUACGAGCUUCGGCGACAGGUGUCUUGCUGGUUAACCUAUUUCCAUCUCAUUACUUUGGCUUCUGCAAAUACAAUGCCGGGAAAGAUUAAAUACUGUAAGCUGUAUCCAGUCAGCUCUCCAUUAUCUGCAUUAAUCGAGGCCAGUACUGAGUGGGAUAAUCCACAGAAGUGCCUAGUCCCCAGAUCAUAUUUAAUUGAUUUGGGGUGGCAGUUGAUGGUGAGUGUGUGUACAUGUGUGCACACACACACACAUAUGCUUUUGGUGAGGGUGAGGAUCGAACUUACUCAUCUUUGAUGUGGCAUCAGGAUCCCAUUUUGGAGGCAGUCUCAUUUGGGGGCACACCAAGGGAAUCCCAGAAGCCUGCUAGAGGAGACAACAGGGCUUCUAGUCUCCCGACUUUUUGUAGGGAAGAAGAGGCAAAGUGAGAGUCCAGGUGUCCUCUGAGGGUGAGGGGGGCAGGUCCUGGUGGCAUUCUCCCUGCAGCAUGCCUCCCACCUGGAGCAGGUCAGGCGAUUUCCGGGUGAGCUACACAAACCCACUCAUUUGUUCUCUCUUUUGGCCGGGCG